UAUAAAAUCAUAAUAGCCUAUAUAUGUUAAUUAUAUCAAAUAGGAUAGUUGUUUUGCUCCAAAGCAAAGAUAUGUAAGUUAUGUUUAUACGAAUGUGUUUUCAGUUAGUUUCCUUUUUUUACACCCUGAGUUCAAGCAUGUUUCACAUGCAUCUAAAGCCAGUAGGGUUUAUAACAGAUUCUUGAAGGAUUAGGAAAUUACAUUUAAAUUACUUUGAAACUCUGAAGCGAUUAUACAGUAAUAUAUGUAAAAUAUAUCGAAUUAUUGUAUGCACUUAGGUCAACAUUUUUACAUGUCUUUGAUUUAUGCACUUGACUGGAAAUUUCCUUUAUGUCUUUCAUUAUUUUCCAACAUCGAUUUUUUUUUUUUUUACCUUUUACAUGUACAAGGAUUAUUUUGCGAUUGCGGUCUGUACAAAUUAAUUUUGAAGUGUUAAAGCACAAACAGUGAAGUACCGCCACCGGUCGAGAGGGGCAGCACCUCAACAAGACGGAAGAAUUGUAAACCGGAAGAUACUGUGUCCUGCCAGAGAGCACUCGUCAUCACACGUUUUCAGUGUUUGAAGAGAGGAUCAAGAUACAGAUUUAAGACAAAUGGCAUCAAUUACGAUCGUUUAACUAAAGUGGCUAGCAAGUGUUAACGAAGACAUGCUGUUUUGCCUUUGUUACAGUACACACGGAGGUUAAGGAAAGUUCUAGUUCUUUUAUUUUUUAUUUAAAAGUUGUUACACUAAGUUUGCUCUCUGCUGCUAAUCCAGUAGGUGAAGUGGCAUUAACAAUGUGGUUUUGUUCAUAUUUUCUUGCAGAUAACUUGCCCAGAGCACAGCAUCUCGUGUACAGCCUGAAGUUUUCAGCUAUCAAGAUUUCUAGAGACUCCAGAAUGAAAACCAAGCCCUGCACUGCCAAAAAUGAAUGUCUUUCUUAGUUUUCUUUUGUCUUGUUUUCUAAUAUUAAUAUCUGAAAAUUCUUAGAUUGAGAUACAC